rnacentral:lncRNA from 1 species
UUGCAGCAAGUCUAAACCUUGUGUCCCCAAAACAUUCUCUGUUUUAUAAAGUUGACCUACAAAGGCAGCUUAUUUUGUUUGACAUACAUCAAUUAUAAAACACAUAUAUAUAUAUUUAGUCUAUAAAGAUCUCAUGUUCCCGAUUUAUACAUACAUUUUAUUUAUAGAGGUCUGUACAGACCUUACAUUACUAUUAAUCAAUCUGGAAAGAGUCCUAGCAGAUAGACUGCCACAAAGUUCAAUGGUACAAGCAUAUGAUUGAACCUACCAAAGAUUUCAUAACCAAACUAAAGAUUAUUAGCUCAAUAGUUGAGGAAAUGACUGCCAUCCUUGAUUUUGAGAAGUUCUACCCCUUUCUUGAACUUCCACCUAUAUGUAUGGCUUUCUAUCAUUUUCUAUUCUAAUAUGUUGAGGAAGAAAACGUGAAUUCCAGCACUCUUAAGGGAACUAGCCAAUAUUAUGUGUUAUGACUUUACAUUUAAUAGGAGAAUUUUUAAACAAGUUACAAGAUGUCUCCAUAGGAAGAUCUAUGGAUGGUUUACUGACCAAGAAUAUUAUCUAUGUUUAGCUCUCAUAUUAAGUAAUAUAUCAGAUGUAUUAACAAUACUUACAUUGCAUGGGUAAAUGAAAUUAAGAUUGAGGAAUGCAAAAAAAGCUUGCAGCCCAAAAUUUAGGUCUUAAGUUAGUCUUUGAGCAGCAGAGUACUACUAAUGUACAUUUUCUAGAUGCAAAUGCAGAAAUAAAGAAUGGGAACUAUGUCACUUCAUCUUAUAAGAAACCAUUGUAUAUUCCAGUUAUCAUACCAUAUUGGUCAGAAGACCAGAUCUGUUAUAAAAAAUCGGCCUUUAGAUAAUUUUUUAGGAGUUUAACUAGACAUUGCAGCAAAGAACAACAUAGAAAGUUGGAAUUUAGAAUUAUCAUUAAUUAGGGUGUAAACUCUGGAUACAACUAUAAGUUUAUGUUGUCUGUCUAUAAAUCAAAACCCAAAAUGUUUUCAGGAGGGGUCAGUUAAACCCCAUCUUCCAUCUGACAGUUACCUAAUCAGGAUGUGGAGGCUUAUAGUGGGAACUGAAAAUACUCCACCACUUAGUACCUACAUAGUGGGAAGCAGUGUAAAACUGCACAAUCAGACUUUACUAAUUAUUAAUUAAAAAUAUAUUAAACUUCAUCUGCAACAACACUUUUAAUUGUAAGACUAUUCAGUUAAUUUUAUGUAACUUUUUUCUUUAUGGUUUUGCAUUGCUUUCCUCUUGGUGAAUACAAGCAGCAGGUAUCACCAAGAGUAUGAGUAACCCAUGGUAGCCUUUCCAUGUCCAUCUGAUGACAGACUCCACUAUGGGUCAACUGUUAGAUGGAAGAUGGAGUUCAUUCAACUAAUCCUGAACCUUUCCUGAAAAAACUGGAGAUAUGAAAUCUGAAUUUUCCAGAGUGGAAAAACAGCAUACUU